CUGAGUUUAAUCAAUAAAUGUCGACUCGAUAAGUUCUUAUCUGCACAUGCAGCUACUGUACUCGUAAACAGCAAAACAGAUGUUUUAUCCUCAUUGUUUUCAACAUUUUAAAUAACCAAGUUUAUAAAAUUAUGUGAUUGACACCUUGUAAUAGGUCAUCAACAACUCAUAACUGCAGCAAGAUGGCAGAUAAUCAGCAUGAGAGAAGCAGAUAUGUCGCUUUGACAAUUGCACGUAUUGUUGGUCAUCACCAUUCCACUAUAAGUUGUUUUGAGAAUACAAAUCAGGCAACAAACGAUGUUAAAGACCUUCCG
rnacentral:lncRNA from 1 species